UGAGGAAUACUGGUCAAUGGACGAGAGUCUGAACCAGCCAUGCCGCGUGAAGGAUGAAGGCGUUCUGCGUUGUAAACUUCUUUUGCGGGGGAAGAAACCUUGAUAUUCUUAUCAAGCCGACGGUACCCCGAGAAUAAGGACCGGCUAACUACGUGCCAGCAGCCGCGGUCAUACGUAGGGUCCAAGCGUUAUCCGGAUUCAUUGGGUUUAAAGGGAGCGUAGGUGGCCUUAUAAGUCAGUGGUGAAAUCUCUGGGCUUAACCCAGAAAUUGCCAUUGAUACUGUAGGGCUUGAGUACAGUUGCUGUGGGCGGAAUAUGACAUGUAGUGGUGAAAUGCAUAGAUAUGACCCGGAACACCGAUUGCGAAGGCAGCCCACUAAGCAAUGAUUGACGCUGAGGCACGAAAGCGUGGGGAUCAAACA
rnacentral:rRNA from 1 species